rnacentral:rRNA from 1 species
AUUUUUCCCGCGUGAAGACUAGCAUAUCAAUAAGCGGAGGAAAAGAAACUAACAAGGAUUCCCCUAGUAACUGCGAGUGAAGCGGGAAAAGCUCAAAUUUAAAAUCUGGUGGUCUUUGGCCAUCCGAGUUGUAAUUUAGAGAAGCGUCUUCCGCAUCAGACCGUGCACAAGUCUCCUGGAAUGGAGCGUCAUAGAGGGUGAGAAUCCCGUCUUUGGCACGGAUGCCUGGUGCUUCUGUGAUGCGCUCUCGAAGAGUCGAGUUGUUUGGGAAUGCAGCUCAAAAUGGGUGGUGAACUCCAUCUAAAGCUAAAUAUUGGCGAGAGACCGAUAGCGAACAAGUACCGUGAGGGAAAGAUGAAAAGCACUUUGGAAAGAGAGUGAAACAGUACGUGAAAUUGUUGAAAGGGAAACGCUUCAAGUCAGUCGCGUCGACCGAGACUCAGCCUUGCCUUGGCUUGGUGUACUUCUCGGCCCGACGGGUCAGCAUCGAUUUCACCCCUCGGAUAAUGGCAAGGGAAAGGUGGCACCUUUACGGGUGUGUUAUAGUCUCCUGUCGCAUGCGAGGGGUGGGAUCGAGGAACUCAGCAUGCACCUUGGUGUCGGGGCUUCGGCCCACGAAACAUGCUUAGGAUGCUGGCAUAAUGGCUUUAAACGACCCGUCUUGAAACACGGACCAAGGAGUCCAACAUGCCUGCAAGUGUUCGGGUGGAAAACCCGUGCGCGUAAUGAAAGUGAAAGUUGGGACCUCUGUCGUGGAGGGCACCGACGCCCGGACCAGACCUUCUGUGACGGAUCUGCGGUAGAGCAUGCAUGUUGGGACCCGAAAGAUGGUGAACUAUGCCUGAAUAGGGUGAAGCCAGAGGAAACUCUGGUGGAGGCUCGUAGCGAUUCUGACGUGCAAAUCGAUCGUCAAAUUUGGGUAUAGGGGCGAAAGACUAAUCGAACCAUCUAGUAGCUGGGUUCUGCCGAUUUUCCCCCCUCGGAAAAAA